rnacentral:tRNA from 2 species
GGCGGACGUAGCCAAGUG